CAGGUGGUUGGCUGUCUGCUUGCGCAACAACUUCCACCCGGCAUGCCUCUUCAGUUGUGCAUCAAGGCUUGCAUCGCCUUGGUGCAUUGUGGGUUUCCUGUGUUGCCUACCUAAGUGACGGUAUUGUUUUUGAUCGAUCAAAGUCCUUUUUUGUCUCGUGUCACAUUUGUGGCAUGGGGUGAACCUUGAAACGGUAUCUAUGUUCCACACCGUUGGUGCACAUGCGCCGAUGUUGUGGCCCGUUGAGCAUUUCUUGGUCUCGUGGAUACAGAACCUGAUGUGGGCAUGGGGUCUUAUGAGAUCCUCGUCUGUCCUCGUUGAGUGUUCACGCUUCUUUAAAACGACCACCUGUCACGUAUUGGCUCGUACCAGCGUGGUGGGUUAUGUCGAAGAGGAAUGCUACCUGGUUGAUCCUGCCAGUAGUCAUAUGCUUG
rnacentral:misc_RNA from 1 species